ensembl:lncRNA
GCCGAGUCUGAGAAUGCGCAGGCGCAUUGCUCUUUUGCCAGUUGCUCCGGUUCUCUCCAGUUUGGGUCCAUUAGCUACCCGAGAUGGUGACGAUGCAGAAUCCCAUCUCCUGUGCCCUCGAGACCCUUCCAGCACCGCAGACCGGCAGAGGGGAGCUCCUGAGGGCUUCUCUUUGUUGAUUCCCCGAGUGACCGAACGCUGCCUCUGAAGGAAGACACCCCCAGAAUUGGACUGGCUACUUAGAAGGGACUCCAUGAAUGUAUCUCAACCUGCUGUUCCCCUCAUCUGCAGCACCCCCUUCCUUGCUUCCCUUGCUCCCCCGACGGCAUUGACUCGUCCGCUCACCUGUGUUUCCGCCGGAUCCGGUGCCAUCCUCUGUUGUGUCCCUGGGCGCAGCAGGGAGGGAGCCCGAUUUUCCUUCUGGAUACAUCGGAGCUCUCGUCCGCAAGGCGCCUAGAACCAGGCUGAGUCCACAGUAGGCAGUGCCUUUUUGCUAAACAGAACGUGCCACUGGUUCUAAUGAGUGAAUCCAGAGGGACCACCCGUCUUUCUCCAGUGUCGUCUGCUCUAAUCACUACCCCCUUCCCCCACUGCAGAGCAGUCGGAAGGAUCCUGCUAAACCCGAAUGGAAUCUCACUCUUCUAACUCUCUUCCCAACACCCCUCGACUUUCCUCAGUGUCGUUUCCCAUUUCUUAGUUACUUGCUUUCAACAGGUCCUUGAGAAGCGCUUAAUACUACCUUUCCGACCAGGGCCCGUAAGCGUCGUGGGGAUGAGAUGAAGAGAAGACCUGCAAAGAGGAAUUCUCUUCGUUCCAUUUCAAGACCUUAGCUCACGAGAUUAUCCUGGCUGCUUGCUGCUUGACAAAUUCCCUUUCUGCCUGUAAAGAGCUACUUCCAAGGUCACUUGUUCUGCGAAGACUUCUAUUACCGGAAGCCCAUUUCCAGUGCUGCUAUGGAAAUUUGUACAUAUGUUAAUUUUAGCACUUUGCCUCUUGAGUGUUCUGUGCUUUGUUUGGGUUGUGCCGGAUAACGUGCGUAGCCCAGUGU